rnacentral:misc_RNA from 1 species
ACAACAGUAUUGUUCCCCAUAUUAUAAGUUGUCAUUGAUCCAAAGAAAGUUUUAAUACGUUUUAUUUUACAAACCAUUUGUUACAUCAUUCAUGAUUAUUGCUCCAAGAUACAAUGCACUGGUUUACAUCAUGAUCAGUAUGUUAUGACGUUCUGUAUUAAUUUUGUGUUUUACAUCACUAUGUAUUACAACAACCCUGUGAGCUUGAAUAAGCCAAAAACAGAUUCACCGGUUCACGAGAUAUUUCUUUUUUGUAUAAACAUUUUAUGCCUUUUAAUCAUUCUAUCAUUAAGGUUUUUUUUUAUCAUGUUUGAUAUAAAUACGUGAAUCACAUGUUAAAAUAAACGCAAAGAAAUAG